AUCAACGCUGGCGGCGCGCUUAACACAUGCAAGUCGCACGAGAAAGAGGGAGCAAUCCCUGAGUACAGUGGCGUACGGGUGAGUAACACGUGGAUCAUCUACCUCUUGGUGGGGAAUACCCCCGGGAAACUGGGGACAAUACCGCAUAAGUUCGUGCAAAGGAAAGCCGAAAUGCGCCGAGAGAGGAGUCCGCGGCCUGAUUAUGCUAGUUGGCGGGGUAACGGCUCACCAAGGCGAAGAUCGGUAGCCGGCCUGAGAGGGCUACACGGCCACACUGGCACUGAAACACGGGCCAGACUCCUACGGGAGGCAGCAGUGGGGAAUCUUGCACAAUGGAGGAAACUCUGAUGCAGCGACGCCGCGUGAGCGAUGAAGCCCCUCGGGGUGUAAAGCUCUUUCGACGGGAACGAUAAUGACGGUACCCGAAGAAGAAGCUGCGGCUAACUACGUGCCAGCAGCCGCGGUAAUACGUAGGCAGCAAGCGUUGUUCGGAAUUACUGGGCGUAAAGAGUGUGUAGGCGGUGUCUCAAGUCUGGUGUGAAAUCUCCCGGCUCAACUGGGAGGGUGCGCCGGAAACUGCGGAUGCUCGAGGUAUGGGAGAGGUAAGCGGAAUUCCCUGGUGUAGCGGUGAAAUGCGUAGAUAUCAGGAGGAACACCUGCUGGUGUAGACAGCUUUACUGGACAUCACUUGACACUGAGACACGAAAGCGUGGGUAGCAAACAGGAUUAGAUACCCUGGUAGUCCACGCCCUAAACGAUGCAUACUUGGUGUGAGCCAUUCAUUUGGUUCGUGCCGGAGCUAACGCGUUAAGUAUGCCGCCUGGGGAGUACGGUCGCAAGGCUGAAACUCAAAGGAAUUGACGGGGGCCCGCACAAGCGGUGGAGCAUGUGGUUCAAUUCGACGCAACGCGAAGAACCUUACCUGGGCUCGAACGGCUCGUGAACGCCGGUGGAAACAUCGGUUUCCCGCAAGGGACGUAGAGCCGAGGUGCUGCAUGGCUGUCGUCAGCUCGUGCCGUGAGAUGUUGGGUUAAGUCCCGCAACGAGCGCAACCCUUGUCCUGUGUUGCCACUCCCGCAAGGAAGCACUCUCAGGAGACCGCCAGCGAUAAGUUGGAGGAAGGUGGGGAUGAUGUCAAGUCAUCAUGGCCUUUAUGUCCAGGGCUACACACGUGCUACAAUGGGCGGUACAAAGCGCUGCAAACCCGCGAGGGGGAGCUAAUCGCAAAAAACCGUUCUCAGUUCGGAUCGCAGGCUGCAACUCGCCUGCGUGAAGCUGGAAUCGCUAGUAAUGGCGUAUCAGAAUGAUGCCGUGAAUACGUUCCCGGGCCUUGUACACACCGCCCGUCACAUCACGAAAGUGGAUUGUACUAGAAGUCCCAAUCUAACGGGCCCAAGGUAUGAUUCAUGAUUGGGGUG
rnacentral:rRNA from 1 species